UACAGAGGGGGCAAGCGUUGUUCGGAAUUACUGGGCGUAAAGGGCGCGUAGGCGGCCUUCUAAGUCGAACGUGAAAUCCCUCGGCUCAACUGAGGAACUGCACGGGAAACUGCCUGGCUUGAGUUCGGGAGAGGGAAGCGGAAUUCCGGGUGUAGCGGUGAAAUGCGUAGAUAUCCGGAGGAACACCGGUGGCGAAGGCGGCUUCCUGGACCGACACUGACGCUGAGGCGCGAAAGCUAGGGGAGCAAACGGG
rnacentral:rRNA from 1 species